rnacentral:tRNA from 1 species
GAAGCACCAUGACCGGCCUGUCACGCCGGAGGUCGCGGGUUCGAGUCCCGUCGCUCCG